rnacentral:rRNA from 1 species
AGAGUUUGAUCAUGGCUCAGAAUGAACGCUGGCGGCGUGCUUAACACAUGCAAGUCGAACGCGAAAGUCCUUCGGGAUGAGUAAAGUGGCGAACGGGUGCAUAACGCGUAGGAAUCUACCCUUGGGUGAAGGAUACCCUAGAGAAAUUUAGGCUAAUACUGCAUAAGCCGGGAAACCGGGAAAGGUGGCCUCUUGCUACCGCACAAGGAUGAGCCUGCGUACUAUUAGUUAGUUGGUGAGGUAAAGGCUCACCAAGACGAAGAUGGUUAGCUGGCCUGAGAGGGUGUACAGCCACAAUGGGACUGAGAUACGGCCCAUACUCCUACGGGAGGCAGCAGUGGGGAAUAUUGCACAAUGGGCGAAAGCCUGAUGCAGCGACGCCGCGUGGAGGAUGACGGUUUUCGGAUUGUAAACUCCUGUUAAGUGGGAAGAAAGAACACGGGUUAAUACCCCGUGGAUGACGGUACCGCUAGAGAAAGCACCGGCUAACUUCGUGCCAGCAGCCGCGGUAAUAC